GUCCCUGAUUUUUGCUACGCGUUAACAGGAGCUAAUGAUUGCAGCGAAAGCGCAGAGACACGGAAAGAGAAUCAGGUAGGCUACGGAGUCGUGGAGCACUAGCCUACUUAAAUACGACGGAGGGACCAGAUGAAGCACACGGCGCUGGCAGCACAGGGAACUGUAACUGCGAAUAUGAAUGAACCCAACAGUCCGAAAGAGCUCAUCUUGUCUUGCCUGGCAGCAUUAUGCAGGAUCCUCUGUAUAUGCCGGCAGCCCCCCGACAGUGGAGAAUGUGACGAGUUACUGCAUCCCCCGGUUCAGGAGACUGAUUCUGCGCCAAACCGCAGUUCUGUGAAGCCCUGGUUUGACACUGGAAAUGGAUGCUGUUAAUUUCUCAUUAAGAAGCUGCUGCCUUCCUUUUCCAACAACCUUCAGAGAAGCUUUUUCUAUUAACUAUGAUGUGAAUUUGCCCUUUAAAAAGCGUUUUCUCACCAUGAGGCCUCCCUUACUGUGUGUGGCCGUACCUGUGCUCACGUGCCUUGCAUAUCGUCUAGGGUGCACCGUCCUAUGGUACCGAAGAAAUGUUUAAUGAUUUUAUCACCGUCCUUUUUGGCAUCACCUGAACCGAUCAGCUUCUAGUGCCAUAUCAGCACUAUACCAUGCUGUUUAUUUCUGACGGUUACUAUUUUAUGCACGGAUUUUUAUGACUGUCACCAUCUCUUUUGGCAUCAUCUACUCUACUCUUGGUAUAGUUCUUUGUAAGCUUUAAAACGGUUUAUAUGAAAUAUUAUGCAAUGC